GCUGGGCUUGGUGGCACAUGCCUGUAAUCCCAGCGGCUGGGGAGGCUGAGGCAGGAGGAUUGUGAGCUCAAAGCCAGCUUCAGCAAAAGCGAGGUGCUAAGCAACUCAGUGAGACCCUGUCUCUC
rnacentral:sRNA from 1 species